CACCAUCUCCCUAGGCCCUACUCUCCACAUGGGGAAAGCUUUCCCUUCUCUGCAGCCUCUAUCCCUGCUCAGUGCUCAGCUCACUGCACAAGGCCCAGGGCCUGCUCCCAGAGCUGCCGUAGCCCUGCUGGUGUUGCUGCUGGGGCUCAGCCCGCCCAGGGCUGCACAGUGCUUUUGCCCAAAGGCACGGUGGCCUGGUGGCCUCUUACUGCACUGGUCUUGGCCCAUCUGACUGGGACAUCGGAAUUAGCACUCUUCUCCAUUGUUUGGAACGCACCUGCAGUGAUUAUUUGCACAUCCUUCAAAACUGUCUUGUUACCUUCUAGUUUAAUGUAUAACAGUAUGAAGAAACCUUGUAAAAUUGAUAGCUACCCUACCUCUGGAAUGCAAGGCAACUGGCUAGAAGAGUACACCACAAGAAUUAACAAAGAGGCAGCAGAUUGGUGAACAGAGUUAGAGCCAAUAAGAAGCCUGACUAGAGCUAGUCAGCAUCUUCCAACUCAAACCAGGUCAGGGACCUGGUGAGGGACACUGCAAGCUUUCAUCAGAAAAGACCACCAAACGACCACCAAGAAGAUACCACGCAUGUGUAAUAGGACUGGGACCCGGGGCAGGGAACUCACUGUAAUAACCUAACUUUUGCUUGGAAAUCUAAUGCAUGUGUAAGCAGCUUGUUCUUUAAGUACCUGCCUUUCUUGUCAUCCAGUGUGCAGGGUAUGAGGGGAUGACCCCCCCUGCACCCAGUGUAGGUGAGCAGUGCUGAAUAAACAUACCUGCUUUAUAACUACUCUGUAGUUG
rnacentral:lncRNA from 1 species